rnacentral:misc_RNA from 1 species
UUUUUUCCUUCUUUUUAGACUUUAGAGAGACAUUGCAAAUUACAAGUAAUAGAAAAUAGCGAGAAAUUAAGAAUUUUAAGAGUAGAUUACAGAAUUAUGGUUUGGAAAAUGAAGUCCACAACCGUUGCCUUUUCUUAGUUUGGAAGCAAACUGAACAAGAAGACGAGGGAGGACUGACUGAGGAAGGAGGGACCUUAGCGUACAAGCUCAACUUUUAGGAGAGGGAGUUGGCAUCCACGCGCCAGUAAAGCGUCAAGAGCUUUGUCGUUUUGCUGGUUCCGCAUCAGAUUUUUUAUGUUUUAAC